GCUCGAAUUUCUCUGAAAGGGUCUUAUGCUAUUACAGAGUUGGAUUCCUACAUCCAAGCUCCUAUAUCUGAGAAGGAUUCAGUAUUCUGGUAAGGAUCGAAAAAUGCCCAGCUGGUAACUUGGAGCUAAAUCAGUAGAAAUAGAGCUGGAGUCGAUUUUUCUAUUAUGUAAAAAUCAUGAAAAAUCUGAUUUUCUUCUGCUCCUUGUGAAAGACUUCAGGUUCUUUGGGGAGAAUCUCAAGGUUCAAUGGCAGAAGAUCCCAUCAAUAUAGCAGUCCUUCCUCAGCAUGCAGAGUGCAAUGAGUUUCUGUUGAAUGGAAGGAAGAAUGAGAGAGGUUCACAAAUAUCUGCACGGUGCUUGGGAAGCAGAACCUGUUGAUACCCAUUCAUCUAUUCUUCAGUCGUGGCUGAAGUUUUGGGAUACCACAUGCUCAUACCAACCAAGACGACAUGAACAGAGAUGGAAGAUGGGAAGAGAAAUACAUGGAAUUCUCAAACAAAUCAUCUUUAACUACCUCUAUAUGUGGAAUCUGUUAUGAUAGAGCUGGCCAUUU